GGGGGCGUUUCCGCCUCCAUCUUUAAGUAGGGCAGACGCGGGUCGCUUCGGUAGCGGUACGGCGAUGCCCGCUUGCCCUACUGCAGAUCGCGGCAGAAGUCGGUCAAAGGAGGCCCUGGUCCCGGAGGUCACAGACUGAGGAGUGGUGAUUACGGCGGGCCAGAGCCUGGGAUGAGGCCACGGGCAUUGUCCUGAGGAUACGGGGUGUCCCAUCGCAAACCUCAACAAUCUGCUCGCGAAGAUUUUAGUUGAGGCAUAACAUCCCCAAAGAUGAGAAAAGGAAACAGACCACUGAGAGUUUCUACUCUGGAAAGCAGAAAUAAGACAACUGUAAGAACAACAGGAAGUGGCUAUAAAAAAAUGAAUGUUCAGGGAAUGAAACACGUGUGGAAAUUAAAACUCUUAGCAGAUAAUCAAUGUCACAACACAAGACCUGAAAGACAUAACUGAAGAACUUUUUGGACAGCAGAACACAAAGAAAGGGAAGAUUGGAGUGAGAACAUUGGAGAACCUGUCCCAGAGGCCUACAGCCAAGGAACAGGUAUUCCAGAAACCAGAACAAAACAAUAGAGCCCUGGCUGGUGUGGUUCAGUGGACUGAGUGCAGCCUGCAAACCAAAUGGUCACUGGUUCGAUUCCCAGUCAGGACACAGGCCUGGGUUGUGGGCCAGGCCCCGCAGUGGGACCGGGGCCACAACCAGACAGUGAUGUUUCUCUCCCUCUCUCCCCAUCUCUAAAGAUAAAUAAAAUCUUUAAAACAAACAAACAAAAAAAAAAUGGAGAAGGAAAUCAAAGAAACCAUUCCAGCCAUUUUCCCA